rnacentral:lncRNA from 1 species
UUGGUUGUAUUCGUCGAAAAUACAAAAACCUUUUAUUGCUAAUAUAAUUACAGAAAUCCGACAACUUGUAGAAAAUAAAACUUGGAGGUAUUGUCCAACUGACUGUAACCCUGCUGACUGUCUUAUGCGCGGGAUGUCUUCAUUGAAGUUUUUGAAUAAUGAAACUUGGUUCAACGGACCGAAAUGGCUUGCACAUGAAGAACAGUGGCCGCAGCGGGAUCGAAAUUCCGUUGCUAUGACAACAAUUACAGACAAUGAAAGUACAGAAAUAAACCGGCA